rnacentral:rRNA from 1 species
ACUGAACGCUGGCGGCAGGCUUAACACAUGCAAGUCGAGCGGGGGAGGUUGCUUCGGUAACUGACCUAGCGGCGGACGGGUGAGUAAUGCUUAGGAAUCUGCCUAUUAGUGGGGGACAACAUUCCGAAAGGGAUGCUAAUACCGCAUACGCCCUACGGGGGAAAGCAGGGGAUCUUCGGACCUCGCGCUAAUAGAUGAGCCUAAGUCGGAUUAGCUAGUUGGUGGGGUAAAGGCCUACCAAGGCGACGAUCUGUAGCGGGUCUGAGAGGAUGAUCCGCCACACUGGGACUGAGACACGGCCCAGACUCCUACGGGAGGCAGCAGUGGGGAAUAUUGGACAAUGGGCGGAAGCCUGAUCCAGCCAUGCCGCGUGUGUGAAGAAGGCCUUUUGGUUGUAAAGCACUUUAAGCGAGGAGGAGGCUACUAGUACUAAUACUACUGGAUAGUGGACGUUACUCGCAGAAUAAGCACCGGCUAACUCUGUGCCAGCCGCCGCGGUAAUAC